UUGGUGCCUACCUCCCACCCGCGUUUAUUUACNUCGUUGCUGGGGGGGGCCCGCCUUAACUGGCCGCCGGGGGGCUCACGCCCCCGGGCCCGCGCCCGCCGAAGACACCCCCGAACUCUGCCUGAAGAUUGUCGUCUGAGUGAAAAUAUAAAUUAUUUAAAACUUUCAACAACGGAUCUCUUGGUUCCGGCAUCGAUGAAGAACGCAGCGAAAUGCGAUACGUAAUGUGAAUUGCAAAUUCAGUGAAUCAUCGAGUCUUUGAACGCACAUUGCGCCCCCUGGUAUUCCGGGGGGCAUGCCUGUCCGAGCGUCAUUGCUGCCCUCAAGCCCGGCUUGUGUGUUGGGCCCCGUCCUCCGAUUCCGGGGGACGGGCCCGAAAGGCAGCGGCGGCACCGCGUCCGGUCCUCGAGCGUAUGGGGCUUUGUCACCCGCUCUGUAGGCCCGGCCGGCGCUUGCCGAUCAACCCAAAUUUUUAUCCAGGUUGACCUCGGAUCAGGU
rnacentral:rRNA from 1 species